AUGUUUCCAUCCAUGGAGUUUAUAAAACCCUUAGGCAAAGGUUCGUAUGGUUCCGUGGAUCUCGUCAGAUUCACGAAACCCGACGGCUCGAACCCGUACUACCAAGCCGUGAAAACCUCUUACCCACAAGACUUCGAGUCUCUCCUCAAAGAGUUUAAGAUUCUAUCUAAACUCAGAGAAUGUCCUAGAAUCGUGCAAACUUGCGGGACAAGUCUCUCGAGAGGUGUCAAUGAUUACGGAAUCAGAGUUUAUAGAAUGGUAAUGGAGUAUGCAGCUGGUGGAAGUUUAACUUCUUUAAUGGAAACAAGAUUAUUGACUGAUUCGAUGAUAAGAGACUUCACUCGUAUGAUCCUUGAAGGACUUGUCUCUAUCCAUAGUCACGGUUAUGUUCAUUGCGAUCUCAAACCGGAAAAUAUUCUCGUGUUUCCUCGUACUUGUGAAGGCAGUGUAUCAUAUGAAUUGAAGAUUUCAGAUUUUGGAAUGUCGACAAAAGUUGGAGAAGACUCAGAGUUUUGGGAAUAUGAUUCUCCGUUUUUGGGAACAUCUCUUUACAUGUCGCCAGAAUCUGUUCAAAACGGGAUCGCGGAGGAAGCCCUAGAUUUGUGGUCAUUAGGUUGUAUCGUGUUGGAGAUGUAUACCGGAGAACCACCAUGGCAGUUGGAAGAUUCUAAGAAGCUUUUGCCACUUUUGUUGAAUGAGAAUGCACCAGAGAUCCCAGUCUCUCUUCCUUGGGACGCAAGACAGUUUUUACAAACGUGUUUCGCAAGUAAUCCUUUGGAGAGAGGAAGCGCUUCAGAGCUAUUGAAGCAUAAGUUUCUACAGAAUGUUUCCAAUGACAAGAAGGGGAGAGUUACCGGCGCCGGAGAUAAGAGAACGUCGGUUUUGGUAUUGAAGUCUAAGUACUUUUCAAAAAAGCCCCUAAAAAUCAAGAUUAUUCCAAGAAAGCCACGGCAGUUUAAGAGAAUUUCGAAUAGACCCUUGAGGUUGAAGAUUAUACCCCCGAAACCCCCAGGAUGCAAUCUUGUUCCGGUUCAGUAGUAGUGUGUCAGUAUUAACCGAUACAUCCCUUAAACUAGGUCAAGACCCAAAGUGCUCCUCCUCUCCGAUUUGCUCCGUCGAUUGCGUGAUGUCGUCGUUUGCAGGUUCAGUGAUUCAUGAAGAGGACAAGUUAGGUAAUUCCAUGUCUUUUUUUUGUGUUCUGCUUUUUUCUUUCGCUUGGCUUCAAAUACUACGUCUGUUGUUUAUGUUUGUGCAGGACGGACACAACCAGGCGAAGAGGCACCUACUGAUGCGCAUAAGGAAGGCAACCUAUCAAAAGCCCUUGUCAUUCCUGAAGAGAAGUCAGGUUCAGUGCCGCUGGUGCAGCGUGAUCCCAUGGCCUCCCAAGACGUACACUUGCAGCUUCUGCAAGAGAGAGGAAUGGCAACAAAUUCUGGAAGCUCGUUUGAGGCCGAGAAAUCAGAUGGGGAGUGUGUUACUACUACUAAAGCACAACAGAAAGUGAGAGGUCGACGACGGAUAGAUAGCUACUUGUUCUGCUAUCAGAAUUUCUACACUCUUCCUGAGAUGAUCAAGUACAUGAAGGAGAAUCAUGGUGUAGGAGAAACCAAAGUGAAAAGUGUUUUCAGGGAACUUUUACAAGGUAGAAAAGCUGAAGCAUAUCUCAGAGAAUCACAGGAAAGAAUGAAAACAAGAACAACAACAACUACUUGAACAGAGGUGAAAAAAUCUUUUGGGCUUAUGAUCGGUGAGGGAGUAUUCAGAUAUUUUUCUUUGUUUUAGUUUGUUUGUGAUUCGGAUUUUGUUGGUUUAGGAGCUAUUAUUCUUGGAUUAGGAACUUUUUGGUUUGUGUCAAGAGUCUCAACUGAUUCAGAUUCUUUCGAAAAUAAGAAAACAUUGAUAUUUUCAGCA